GAGGGUAUAGCUCAGUGGUAGAGUGCAUGCUUAGCAUGCACAAGGGCCUAGGUUCAAUUCCCAGUACCUCCA
rnacentral:tRNA from 1 species